rnacentral:lncRNA from 1 species
UUUUUUUUUUAGUAAUCGUCGCUUCGGUUUAAUCCGCAAACUUCCUUCUAGAUUUCGCUUCAUCACCAUCAUUGCCACCGUCUUUGGCUACGAUGGCGGUCGAGAAGGCCACCAGCAACCUUCUCAUCUCACCUGAUGAAGAUACCAACCUUUAAUCGCAGCAACAGCAAGUAAGGUGCGUAAGGUUCUCAUUUUGGCUGCGGGAGCAAAAGUGUCGAUAUAGUCGAUCCCAGCUUGUUGAGUGAGUCCUUGAGCCACGAGUCCUGCCUUACGACGUUCUAAAGAACCAUUAGCAUGAUAUUUAACCCUUGCAUACCCAUUUUCGACCAAUGACAGUGAUGUGGGGAGGCUUUGGAACAAUGCUCCAAGUUUGAGUUUUGAUCAGGGCGCCAAGUUCAUUCUGUACAGCUGCAUUCCAACUAGGAUCAGCAGCAUCUUCUUUAUAUGAUCUUGGUUCACGAGUGGAAUCCACAGAUAGGAGUACUUCUUUGUAAGAAGGUGCAAGCUUGUCUCCAGCAAUGACAUCAGAGAUGGGAUAUCGAACACUGUUGCAUUGAAAUUCUGCUAGGUAAUUAUUAGGCAGUCUUCUUUGUUUUUGGGGACGACCAGGAGCAGCAAUGGUAGAGGAAGGAGCAGUAGUAUUGUUGAGAUUAUGAGUGGCAUCAUUGGGAGUAGGAUCAAAAGUGGAUGCCUGCUGUUUAGAAGUAUUGUGAGAAAGAUCCACAGUAUGAUCUGCAAAGUCUGGGGGAGAAGUAGAAGUAGUGCUAGGGAUGUUUAAAUCCAUAUCACGAGGAACCAGAGGAGUUGGAGAUGGAUCAAUGAUAGGAAAAACAAAUUCAUAAGCAGGUUUUGUGAGAGAAACUUGAGAAAAAGGAAAGAUUUGUUCCUUCAAAGUUACAUCUCUAGAAUCAAUGACGGCAUGGGUUUCAAGGUUAUAUAAUCUCUAUCCUUUCUUAUUUGGAGGAUAUCCAAGUAAGAUACAAGGAUGACCACAAGAAGAUAUUUUGCUGCGUCCAUGAGCAAGAGUAGAGGCAAAAGCUUGACAGGCAAAAACUCUAAGAGAGUCAAAUGAAGGUGGAAUUCCAGUAAGAACCUCAAUGAGAGAUAUUUCAUUUAGAAUUAGAGUAGGGAGGCGAUUACUGAUAUGUACAACAUGAAGAAUUGCAUAAUACCAGAAAUUUGAAGGUAAUUUUGCUGAGAGCUCUAGUCACAACAAGAAUGUGUUGGUGUUUUCUCUGAACCCUGCCAUAUUGUUGAGAUGUUUGUAUACAAGAUGUUUUAUGAGUGAUUCCUUUGCUGUUAAAGAAGGAAGGAGUAUUGAAUUCUUGUCCAUUAUCACUUUGAAUGAUUUUGAUACGAGUAUUAUAUUGAGUAAGAAUAAGGUCAUAGAAAUCAAACAUACAUUGUCUGGCUUGAGAUUUAUUCUUUAAUAUGUAAACCCAUGUCAUUCAAGAAUUAUCAUCUACAAUGGUGAGAAAGUACAGAUGUCCAUCAAAAGAACUAACUGAACAAGGACCCCAUACGAUCACAUCAGUGAAACUUAUAUCUUUACUAAGAAUGACACUGCCAAUAUGAGAAACCAUAACUCGAUUUCCAUUAGGUAAGGUAACAUGAGUAUUCUGUACACCAACCCCAAAGGUAAGUAAAUCGAGUGAACAAGCAACAUGUUUGUGGCACCUGCAGGAGGAGCUUGAGAGGGUGAUGGAGAAAUGGUUCCUUGAGCUUGACCAGAUUGAGAGCUUUGAGCUCGAUGGGAUGGAGGAUGCAUAUACUGGGCCCAGUUUCCAAUCAUUGAUGCUUUGGAAACUUCAAUAGGCAAUCCAGAGCGAAUACAGUUGAUAGCACCAGUGUUCUAAAGUUGAAAAAGAUUGUAUAGAACUGUUGGGGCGCUAGCGGAAAUAUAGUGGAAUUUAAAAUCGAAAAGAUAGUAUUUUGAUAACUUACUCGAUUAAUCACACAAUUUUAUAAAAGUUACAACUUUGUCACUUAGACCUUUCAAACUCCUCACCGAACACUCUCUACUUCUUCUUUCUUAUUUGUUUUGUUUCUCUACACUUCACACUUGCCUAAGGUGAGACUUCAUAUUUAUAGGCUAAUACAACCUCCUUAGGAAGAUACUAGCACACUUGAUAGGUUUAGUGUGUGGUUAGGAUUAUUUUUAUUUUGUUUAGUUAUCAAAACAUAUUAAUUAGUUUAGUUGAGUAGUUGAGAUUUUUUUAUGGAAUUGUCUAGAGAAUUGUAGAUUAAUUCUCAACACCCCCUCUUAAUCUGCAAUUCGGAGUAGGUGUUUGAACUUCUCGAGUUUGUCCUUCGUAACUGCCUUCGUCAUGAUAUCUGCCGGUUGAUCAUCUGUGUUGAUGAACUCCAUUGUGAUUUCUCCGUUAUUGACUAACUGUCGUAUGAAAUGGUGUCGUAACUCGAUAUGCUUCGACCUUGUGUGAAAUACUGGAUUCUUUGUCAUGGCUAUAGCUGACAUUUUGUCACAGUGAAUAAUGAUUGGUUCAUUAUCACCUUGUUGCAAGUCUUCAAUUAAUCUUUUUAUCCAUACUGCCUUGCCUGAUGCAUCUGUAGAUGCAAUAUAUUCUGCUUCCGCUGAUGAUACUGCCACAGUCUUCUGCUUCUUUGAGCUCCAAGAAAUAGGUUUUGUAUCUAUGCAAAAUAUGUAACCAGAUGUACUCUUUUGGUCAUCUAUUGAUCGUGCCCAGUCACUGUCGGUGUGUCCGAUUAGCUUGCUUCCUCUUUCCUUCUUGUACCUUAGGCCCAAUUGUUUAGUGCCUUGGAGGUAUCGUAGGAUUCUCUUUGAUGCUGCAAAAUGAAGUUUGCUAGGCUCAUUCAUAAAUCUUGAAAUAACACUUACUGAGUGACAUAUAUCUGGUCUUGUGUGUGUCAGAUAUAUGAGCGAUCCGACUAGGCUUCUGUAUAUUUUCCCAUCAACUUUUUCUGCUCCAUCUUCUUGUUGCAACUUCUCAUUCAAUGCCAUCGGUGUUGCUAUGGGCUUGCACGAUGCCAUGUGAAAUCUCUUUAACACGUCUUUAGUAUACUUCUCUUGAGAGAUGAAUAUAUCUCCAGGUUUCUGCUUUACUUGAAUUCCCAGAAAAUACUUCAUGAGUCCUAAGUCAGUCAUUUCGAACUCUGACAUCAUUGCCCUUUUGAAUUCUUCAAUCAUUUGUGCACUUGUGCCUGUGUAGAUCAAGUCAUCAACAUAUAAGCACAAAAUACGAAAGUUUUUGUUUUCUUCCUUUUUUAUGUAGAGAGAUGCUUCACGUGGACUUCUUUGGAACUUAUUGUCUUGAAAGUAUCGAUCAAUUCUGUUGUUCCACGCUCGUGGUGCUUGUUUGAGUCCGUAGAGUGCCUUUUUGAGUUGAUAGACUUUGUCUUCUCCUCCUUUCUUCUCGUAUCCUCGUAGUUGUUCCACAUAGACUUUUUCUUCUAGUGUUCCGUUGAGGAAUGCUAACUUGAUGUCUGGCUGAAAUAUUGGUAACUCCAUUUGAGCUGCUAGUGUUAUGACUGUUCUGAUUGUCUCCAUCUGCGUUACUGGUGCAUAGGUUUUGUGAAAGUCGAUGCCAAACUGUUGUGAAUAGCCUUUUGCCACCAAUCUCGCUUUAAGCUUCUGGAUGGAACCGUCUUCAUUAAAUUUGGUCUUGUAGAUCCAGUUAAGACCUAUGACCAGCUUGUCUUUUGGUUUGUCCACGAGCUCCCAAGUCUUGUUCUUCUCGAUCAUUGAGAUCUCCGUGUCCAUUACUUCUGUCCAGAUUUUGUCUUUUGUUGCUUCUUCAAAUGUCUGGGGUUCAAAAGAAAAAUAUGCUACGUGACUUGAUUCAUAAAUUUCUCUUAAGGAUCUAACCUUUAAUGGAGGUGAAUCUAUUUUGUCAUGACGUCUCUAAAGUUGUCUCUCGUUGGACUCGUUGUUGGAAUUCUUCCAUGGAUUGGAUUUUGAUGGUCCUUAUUUGGUGUUUUUGGUGCAGUUGUUGGAUUCUACAGGAUCUCAUUUGUUAAUGGAGGUUGAGUAUCCUGAGUUUCCCAACUCCACUCGGCUAUUUCGUCGAAGAUAACGUCUCGUGAAAUCACCACCUCAUUCUUCAAUGGAUUGUAGAGUCUAUAACCUUUGGAUUCGUCACUAUAUCCGAUGAAGAUGACCAUCUCUCCCUUCUGGUCGAACAUAUCUCGAUUUGGGGUGGAGAUAUGUGCAUAUGCUAAGCAUCCAAAUACUUAGAGGUGAUCCACUUGCGGCCUUUUGCGGUGCCAUGCUUGAAAAGGUGUUUUGUUCUUAACUGCUUUGGUUGGCGAUCUGUUGAGGAUAUAGAUUGUUGUAUUGACAGCUUCGCCAAAGUUGGUUGGGAAUUUUCUUAGCAGUCAUCAUGCUUCUUGACAUCUCCACAAUUGUACGGUUCGUUCGUUCUGCUACGCCAUUUUGUUGUGGUGUGUACCGCACUGUCAACUGCCUCUUGAUUCCGUUCGUGUGACAGUACUCCAUGAAAGGUUUAUAGAUGAAUUCUCCAACACGAUCUGUUCGUAGUGUCUUGAUUUCAUGUCCGCUUUCCUUCUCAGCUGUUGCUUUGAAUUGAAGGAACUUGGAGAAAACUUCUGACUUUUGUUCGAGAAAGAAUACCCACAUCAUUCUAGUAUNNNNNNNNNNNNNNNNNNNNNNNNNNNNNNNNNNNNNNNNNNNNNNNNNNNNNAUCAUCCACAAAUAGUAGAAAGUAUCUCUUACCAUCCAGGGAUGCUAGUUGGUCCGCAAAUAUCAGCGUGUACCAACUCUAGUGGUGCUUUUGCUCUCCAAGUGGUUUUUAAAAAUGACAGGUGAUGCAUUUUGCCAUAUAUGCAUCCUUCACAAACCUUGUCUUCUCUGUUGAUUUCGGGAAGACCAACCACCAUAUUUUUAUGCUUCAACAAUUUAAGUCCUUUGUAGUUUAGGUGUCCAUAUCGGAGAUGUCAUAGGAAAGAUUCGUCCAUACUUUGGCUUUUCAUUGCUAAUUCCUUAUUCUUCGACAUUGUGAGAGGAAACAUCCUGUUGGAAGUCAUCAGAAUUUUUGCCACCUUCGGGUUGUUCGAUUUGUUGAUAAUCUCACAUUGGUCGUUAUCAAACAGUAGCUAGUAAUUUUUGAGCUAAUUCAGGAACGUACAAAAUUUUUUGGAUUAGAGUUUUAUUACCUCCCUUUCCUUGUACGAUAAUUGUACAUUUUCCUUCCACUUCCAAUUUUUUCACCGUCUCCAAUCUUCACGUGGGACUUAUAUGUAUCAUCCAUCUCGAUAAAAGACUCCUGAUCUCCAGUCAAGUGAUUACUGCAACCGUUGUCCACCACCCAUGGAAGUUGUGAUUUUUGCUCGGCUUUGAAGCAAGUGUAUGCGACCAGUUUUUCUUCAUCCUUAUGUGCGAAGCUUGAUUCGCCUUCUUCUUUUUUAUUCUAGAACCAGCAAUCUCGUUGAGAGUGAUUUUGAAUUUUGCACUUGGUGCACCUGAACCUGCAUUUUUUGGUAGCAUGGUUAGAGUUUUUAUAAACUUUGCAUUUGUCGUUGGAGUUGCUUGAUUUCUCCUGAUUCUUGCUGCAGUUGUUGCUUUUCUUGAAAUUCGAUUUUCCUCCUUCCUUUCUGCUCUCCUUUGAUGUCGACCUUGGAUUGAAAAGUUUGCUCGAGUUGUUGGUUGGUAAACCGGCUCAAUCUCUGCCUAUGAGCUACAAGUGAUCCGAUAAACUUAGUCAUGAGUAAUUUUCCAAAAUCUUUGGUUUCUUCUAUGACAGCGACGACGUGCUCGAACUUUGGUGUUAGACUGCGUAGGAUCCUCUCCACGAUCUUCUUCUCGUCGAUAGUCUCUCCAGUGACUUUGAUCUGGUUCACUAUCUCUGCAGCACGAGAAUGAAAGUCUUUGAUGCUUUUGCCUUCCUUCAUCGUCAGGUUGUCGAAUUGACGCCAUAGAUUUUGGCGUUUUAUGGAGAUUGCCUUCUCAGAACUUUGAAAUUUAUUCUUCAAAACUUCCCAAACUUCUUUGCCUAAUUUGAUGCCAAAUAUUCUCGGAAAUAUUGUUUUGCUCACAGCUUGCUGAAUUAUCCUCAAUGCGUUGGCGUUCCUUGUGACAUUCUCCUUAUGCUCCUUCGUCUUCAUCCCGCUUAUUUUGGGAUUGUCAUCUUUUGCCGAAUCUGCCUUUUUCCGGUCGAUGUGUAAUCGUUCUCUUGUGGUGAUUGUUCGAUGCCUUCUUGAACAAUAUCCCACAAGUCUUGUGAAAUGAAGAUAGUCUCCAUUUGUACUUUCCAAUAUUCGUACAAUUCUCCAUCAAAAAUUGAAACUUGAUUUGAAGAGUUGACGAACAUGGAACUUGACGAUGGUGUUGCCAUAGGAUUUUGAGCAGAUUCUUUUGAUAGAGGUUUUGAGAGGGUUUUGUGAGGUUAGGUUAUAAUAUGGUUAUCAAAGUACUAAAGUGUAACUUUUCUGAUGUGGAAGAUCAGUUAUAAAAACCGCAACCACAUAGCAUACUCAGCGUAACUUUAGCGCUAAUACCAAAUUUUUUGGGGCGCUAGCGAAAAUGUAGUGGAAUUUAGGAUUUAAAAAUUAGUAUUUUGAUAACUCACUCGAUGAAUGACACAAUUUUAUAAAAGUUACAACUUGGUCACUUAGACCGUUCAAACUCCUCACUGAACACUCGCUACUUCUUCUUUCUUAUUUGUUUUGUUUCUCUACACUUCACACUUGUCUAAGGUGAGACUUCAUAUUUAUAGGCUAACACAACUUUGUUAGGAAGAUACUAGAACACUUUGUGCUUCUUCUUUCUUAUUUAUUUUGUUUCUCUACACUUCACACUUUUUUAAGGUGAGGCUUCAUAUUUAUAGGCUAAUACAACUUUCUUAGGAAGAUACUAGCACACUUGGUAAGUUUAGUGUGUGACUAGGAUUAUUUUUAUUUUGUUUAGUUAUCAAAACAUAUUAAUUAAUUGAGUUGAGUGGUUGAGAUAUUUUUAUAGAAUUUUCUAGAGAAUCGUAGAUUAAUUCUCAACAAGAACUUGAUAUUGUUGACGAGAUAUCAUAACUGGAGAAUCAUCAGUUACAACAGGAAGAUCAAAAUUUGUUGGAGCACCUUCAUCUGAAUCUACAUUACUUAUCCAUCGAUCAUAAAUACAUCUAAUUAAGUUUCUAUUACCUACGUCAAAGCUGCAAUACCUACGUCUAAGUUGCUAAUAACAAUGUUUUUCUCUUUAUAUCUACGCUACGUUUAAGUUUCUAAUAACUAUGUUUAACUAAAUAAUAACUACAUCUACGGUUCUAAUAAUUAUGUCUAUCUCAAAGUUGCUAAUAGAUAUGUCUGAGUUGGUGAUAACUACGUCUAAUUGGCUUAUAACUACAUCUCACACCCCCUCCCCCACAUCUACCUUAGUUACCGUCGACCAUACAUACAUCUAAGUAGCUAAAAAUCCUACCACAAAAUUAUCAAUACCUAUGUCUUUAGUUGCUAAUAACUAUGUUUGUUCCCUUAUGUAUAUCUAUGUACCUUAGUUUAAGUUGUUAAUACCUACAUCUAAAUUGUUGAUAUCAAUAUCAACUUCUGAGUUAUUAAUAGGAACUUCUAAGUUAUUAAUAGUUACGUCUAAGUGGACAAUAACUACGUUUAAGUUGUCAAUAACUACGUCUAAUAUAGUGAUAGCUAUCAAGUCUAGUUUAAGGCAGUCAACUCACAUGUUUGACCUCGAACAAAAUUCGUCGAAACUACAUCAUGACCUUGUUUGCUUUAAUCGUCUUUGAAAAAAUAAUUUUGUUGCGAAAAAUUAUUCAACCCCAAGUUCGUAUGUAAAAAAUAUUAAUUAAAUAAGUGUUAGGGAAAAAAAUAAAACAUUAAAGGUGAGAUAGUGGUAAAAUGACAAACUGCCCGUCUGCUAUAAAAUCCAGCAGAAUUCAGCAGCUGACAACUUCAGCACCAGACGCCAACACCAUCUAGAUAUGAGAUCCAUAUAUUUGAAACGGAGCGGACGGGAUCGGCAGAGCUGCAGGCGAAGGUCGAAGAUGACCAACAUCCAGAUAUGAGAUCUAUGAACUUGAGAUGAAGAAGAAGAAUGGGAAAGGUGAAGUAUUGUGAGAAGGUUGGAACGGCUUCGUCGUUGUGAAAGAAGGGAGCGGCAGUGGCGUCGUCAUCGUGAGGAAAGAAAGCCAGCGUCGGCGGCGUCACUGUGAGGGAAGCGAGGCGGCGGCAGCGUCACUGAGGAAAGACAAGCGGUGGCGGCGGCGUCCGAGUGAGAAUGGAAGCGGCAAAGGGGGUAUCUCACUGGAGAAACUGAUUUGGAGUUUUGAGAUAUGCUUUAGGGUUCAAGGAAAUUGAUUGGAAGAGAUAAUACAGUGAAGAAGAUGAAUGGAGAAGGAAGAGGAAGUUGAAGUAUGAAGAAUGAAGGAGACAGAGUCACAGAGAGAUGGAAAUCGGGGAAGAUCAAAUUGGAUUUAAUGAUCUAAUUCGACUGAAUUGGGUCACAUUUCGAAUUCGGUCAAUCAACCUAAUUACCGAGCUCGAAUUGGUGGAAAAUUUCAGCAUCGAUUUCGGUUUGGAAAUCGAAUUCAAGUUGCAUUCAGUUUUUGGUUGAAUUAAAUUCGGUUACAAAUUUGGUUAAAUCGAAUAAUCAAAACCGAACUGACAGACCAAUCGAGCGGGUAUCUGAUUGGACAAAGUUUAAUGCCAAGAUUAUCUCCAAUCUAGCAGUUAGUCCAGAGUUGACUAGAGUUGAGUUUUACUAAUUAGUCAUUGCGCUCAAGGUAGUGAAAUCGUCGAGUUAGUAUGAGAUCGAAUAAUGACCUGAAAUCGUAAUUGUAGAAUUGAAUGACUUGAAAUCGUAAUCGUAGAAUUGAAUCGUAAAAUCGUAAGAUUUCACGACUUUCUAUAAUAGCAAAUUAAAAAAAAAUUGCAUUACUUUUAUACGGUUGUUAUCAUUUCAAUCUUACUUAUUACUAAAAUAAUAAAAAACUAUCAAUAAAAUAAAUAAAUUACGGAUAACAUCUAAAUUUUUUAUUCUAAACCAAAUGAGAGACAAAAUGACAAAUUCACAAUUUUCACCUAGAAAGUAGAAUUGUAAAAUACAUAAAAAAAUAUUGAUUUUAUAAUAUUUUAAGAUUUAAAUCCAGAUUUUACCUGAUUUCAUUAACCAUCAAUUUUGGGUGAAAUCCAAAUAGUUAUACAUCACUAAAAUCAUAAAACCAUAAAAUUUUACAAUUUAAAUCGUCAAUUUUAUUACUCUGAUUGUGGUGCUUGUACAGUCAUCGAAAAGUCCUUUUAUGAUUUCAUUUUAGUGAAGACUAAUAGUAGGCCCAAUUAGUCAAUAGCAUCCUUCUUAGUUUACUAAAGCCAAUAAACCUAUAUAAACAUAUAUAGGUGACAUUGUGCACAAUCGUAUGAGGGGGGAGCUAUAUGCAACAGUUUUAAACAGGCAAUUCCAAUGUUGAAGUGCCUAUCUGCCAUCGUUUAAACAUCCUAAUUGAGAAUCAGCCUUCAGAACUUGGUCAGAGAUAAUAAUGUAUAUAGCUAACAAUAAACACAAUGCUGGACCUAAGCCAACGGCAGCAACCUUUUAAGCAAAUGGCCUGGAUCAGAUUCCAUGGAUUGCAGGCGGCUUAUGAGUUUGUUGUCAGUUUAAAAAGAACAGGGUUAUCAGUAGUAGGUGAACAGUAUCACCCAACCUGGCAUUUAGACGUCUUGGAAGGACUCUGCACCAUUCCCCGAAGUAUGUAUCCAGUCCAUACACAUAAAAAAGAAAGAAAAGAAAGGAGUAGUCGGGAAGUAAAAAUCAAGCAAGCAAACGAGGGAAACGACAAAAAGUGUGCUUGUAUCUAAAAGUGGCGAUAUUCACAUUACCCUUUUCACAGUGGCCCAUCUCCCCCCCUUGUUUUCUAUAACACUGAAAGAAGUAACCUAUCUUGUGAGAAUAGAAUACAUCUAACAAAUGAAGGCUGGUAAUGUACCUAGAAAUAUCAAGGCAUUUGUAGUUGUAGCAAACUAGCAAGUGCUUACAGCUGACAGACAUUCAUCUCUCCUUCCCCCCUCACGGACCCCAUCUCCCUUUUGGCGUUCUCUCUAACCCAAUCCCAUUUCUUUUUCUGCAUCUGCUAAGACUGCUACACUACACAUUAAAUAAUAACUUCUUUCACAGCACAGCUCCUCCAUUCAUUGUCUGCCAUUCCCACUAACCCCAUUACCCCCCUCAAACAACUUUUAUUGAUUUUGCAUAACUGGAGCAACAACAACCCCCUCUCCAAUUAUUUUUCAUUUCAUCUAAUGUUACAAGCGAUUACAACAAACUUUGAAGAUCUCUUAGGGUUAAAAUUACAUUACAGAACAAAUAGGAAAUACCCAGAAACAAAUCAAUCAAAAUUCCCAAAUUUAGACAGACAGACAGACAGACACCAAAGGGAGGGAGGGAUAACCCAAAAUACGAAUUCGAGUUUGAAUCAUAUCAAGAACAACCAUCUUCAUCUUCCUAUUUAUUAUUAUUAUUAUUAUUACAUCUUAAAAACUGGGUCAUAAUAAUAAUACUACAUUCGAGCUGGAUGAAAUUGGUUUCCUUUCAUCUACCUCGGUUACCAAAAUUCAUCUUCUCGUAGUACCGGAUUGAAAGCAGGGACAGGGAGAGAUGGACCUCAUCCUUCCCCCACUUUGCUGGAGGCUUAGCUCCGAUCAUCGGCGGGAAAUUAGCCCAUGGCGAUGAAGAAGAAGAAGACGAAGACGAAGACGAAGUAGAGGCAGAGGACUGGGGUUUGGAGAGAGGCCAGAGGUACUGGGAGUGAAGGCGGCGGAACCCUCCUAGGGCCAGGACUACAGAUCUAAGCUGUUGGUUACCGCACCCGAUGUUAGCCCAGUGUUUGGUGCAGAUCAGCUCCCAGAGCCGCUCGUCCUCGGCUGUCAGGUGCCACUGCUUGCUCACGCACGCCGCUCGGCCCAGGGUAGCAGCAUCGGCGUGCUUCAGCACCUCGUACAGCAGAUUCUCGUCCAAAUUGACGAACCCAGUUCCCGAACCGCUCAAAUCUGUGGCUGGUACUUCAUCCUGGACCUUGAUUCGCUUGGAUUGAGAAUAGGAAUCGGCGUCCAGAGAACGCUUCAUGGUAGGAACGGACAGAAAGGGAAAGGAGAGGGUUGUUGUACGGAGGAGUUAGAGAGGAAGGAAUGAAAUGAAUUGCAGAGGAAGAGGAGAUGGGAGAAGUAGAAGAUAAAAGGAGGGAUAGGGAUUUGGGUGGGGGAAGAGACGACUUUGGAGAUUAUCGAAGAGGACAAGAGGGGAAGAAAUGAAUGCGGGAGUUUGAUGCUCUUUCUUUCUUUUCAGUUUCCUCCUUUCUUCUUCUCUCUCUCUCUCCUCAUAUUUACGUUUGUGUCCUGCUUUCUGUUUUGUUUUCGAUACUUCUCAUUCCUUUUACUUUGUCCCUGAUUUUAUUUUGUGAAGAGGAAAACCCUCCG